rnacentral:rRNA from 1 species
UACGAAGGGGGCUAGCGUUGCUCGGAAUUACUGGGCGUAAAGCGCACGUAGGCGGCUUCUUAAGUCGGUGGUGAAAUCCUGGAGCUCAACUCCAGAACUGCCUUCGAUACUGGGAAGCUCGAGUCCGGGAGAGGUGAGUGGAACUGCGAGUGUAGAGGUGAAAUUCGUAGAUAUUCGCAAGAACACCAGUGGCGAAGGCGGCUCACUGGCCCGGUACUGACGCUGAGGUGCGAGAGCGUGGGGAGCAAACAGG